rnacentral:rRNA from 1 species
GACGAAGGGGGCUAGCGUUGUUCGGAAUUACUGGGCGUAAAGGGCGCGUAGGUGGCCCUGCAAGUCAGGCGUUAAAGACCCAGGCUCAACCUGGGGAAUGCGCUUGAGACUGCAGGGCUUGAGACCGGAAGAGGAGAGUGGAAUUCCCAGUGUAGAGGUGAAAUUCGUAGAUAUUGGGAAGAACACCAGUGGCGAAGGCGGCUCUCUGGUCCGGUUCUGACGCUAAGGCGCGAAAGCGUGGGGAGCAAACAGG